rnacentral:rRNA from 1 species
UACGAAGGGGGCUAGCGUUGUUCGGAAUUACUGGGCGUAAAGCGCGCGCAGGCGGCUCUUCAAGUCAGGGGUGAAAGCCCAGAGCUCAACUCUGGAACUGCCUUUGAGACUGAAGAGCUUGAGUACGGGAGAGGUGAGUGGAAUUCCCAGUGUAGAGGUGAAAUUCGUAGAUAUUGGGAAGAACACCGGUGGCGAAGGCGGCUCACUGGCCCGUUACUGACGCUCAGGCGCGACAGCGUGGGGAGCGAACAGG